UACGGAGGGUGCAAGCAUUGAUCGGAAUUAUUGGGCGUAAAGGGCGCGUAGGCGGCUUUAUAAGUUAGAUGUGAAAUUCCGGGGCUCAACCCCGGAGCUGCAUUUAAAACUGUAGAGCUAGAGUAUAGUUAGGGUAAACGGAAUUCCACGUGUAGCGGUGAAAUGCGUAGAUAUGUGGAAGAACACCGGUGGUGAAGACGGUUUACUGGGCUGUAACUGACGCUGAGGCGCGAAAGCAUGGGGAGCAAACAGG
rnacentral:rRNA from 1 species